AAAUGUACAUAAAAAGACUUAGUAUUAUUUUCUCUGUGUAAAAUCAUCCAAUGACUUCUCUCGCCAGGGCAAAGCGAGAGGGAGUGUCAGACUCUUACUGACUAAAAACCACCCCGUUCCUACUCCUGCUUGUCGAGCCGGAGCCCCGGUAAACCCGCUAGGUUGUCCGCAGCUCCGGAUUAAGCAUCAGCCCUACUGGGCCCCAUCUCUCUUUGUCAGCUUGGCUGACAAAGUCAAAUGUGACAUUUCCCUAUACCUACUUAUUAUUACUCUUUGAUGUGACAUUAUUUACAAACAUUGUUAAAUUUGUUAAUAACAAGUAGUAAUAACAAAGACAAACUGAAUGAAAAUGGUGCUGAUUGAACAAAUUUCGGCCCUUAUUGAUUUUUUGGAAAACCACCAAGACCUGGCGCUUGGCCACUGCAGCCGCACCAAUGAAGGGCGAAGUCUUAUGAGACGGUACUGGAUGGAGUGUGCCCAAAUUUUAAAUGCGGUGUCGGUGGACUGCCCUAAUAAAACGCCGGCAGUGUGGCGCUCAGUGAGUACCUAACGGUAUAAUUAGUGAUGCAUUAUAAAGGUCGAUUUACAUCAAACGAACAUAGAGCUAGAGCUAGAACAAGAGCAUUCUUUCGUAAUCUUUUAGUGUAAACGAAAGCUAGAGGUAUCGAUUUACAUCAAACGAACAUAGAGCUAGAGCUAGAACACUAAAACGCUUUGAUGAGACCGCUCAGUGGCGCGAGCACGUCCGAACACGCUAGAACGCUCUAAGCAACUGUUCGCGCGCUCUUGCGCCGUUUACAUCAAGCGAGCGAGCAUUCUUAGAAUAUUCCAUAGAAUCUUUGCGAACGCACUAAGAACAACGAAGGAAUGCUCUACGCCUGUUUACACUAGAAAAAUUAGCUGUAGUGGGGAUAGAAUGAGCAUUCGCUCGUUUGAUGUAAAUCGACCUUAAGAUGAUAAUUGUACCAUUAUUAUAAUUUUUGUUUUUUUUUUAGUUCUACAACGAAUAUAAAAGCAAGCUUUUAAAAAAAAUUAAAUCACAGAAAAGUGAAUUGAGUGCUACAGGUGGUGGUCCUGCAAAAAAAAUUAUAUUGACCCCGCUCCAAGAGCGCUUAUAUAAUAUCUUAGGGCGAGAUGUAGGAGAGCCACUUCAAGGUGUCCGACAUAACCCACUCAGUGUAAGCAUUAACAUUCAUUUUUUUGCACAUUUGAAAGUUAUUCUAACUUGUGUAACUAAUAUGUGACAGUUGUUUAUUAUGUUACAACGUGUUUUUAUUUGCAUAUUGUUGACUCACUUGCAUAAUAACUGCAUGUUUUUUUUGUUAAUUAGCCAAUUAUCACAAUUCCUUUGGUGGAAGCUAGUCCUACUAUCAAUAAUUUGAACAACUCCUGCUCGAAAGUUUUGCUAGCUUGGUACUCUGUGCUUAAUUUGCUUAGCUUUUAUACUUUAACAAAAUAACCUUGUUUCUUUCGUAACUAUUAUGAUAAUAUUGCAUUUAUUUUAAUACCCUAUUAGACAAUUAUGAAAAUGAACUUGUGGAAACUGUACAACAAGAAAUAAGCUUGGAUCAGGAAAGUUUUGCUCAGCAUUUACCAGCAACAAGCCUCCAAAGCGACGCAAACGCCAAAAAUCCACACGGCAAUACGCAUCAGAAGGUAAAGAUUUUGCAAUUAUUUGUUAAGACCAUUAACUCCCCACUCUAGGGUAAAGUAUAUAACUUGUUGUAACAAAAUAUUUUUCUUUUUAUGGAUGCAGCAGACCAUGCAGCUCUUGAAGCUGCUUAAUCGAGGCCGGAGGCUAUAGACGCAAGGAACGCCGAACUCACCUUGAAAAUUGCUGAGGCUAUUAAUAAUUUAGCUGCGGCCAUUAAUAGACAAAGCUCCAUCACUGAAGAAGUGGUGAAACUUUUGGACCGCUUUGUGACAUCUGUGUCAAAAGUUAAGAUAACUUCAGUCAACGUUCAGCUACACCAGCGUCAAGGCGUGCUUAUUCCCCCUUUUAUUCAUAUAUUCCUGUACCCGAAACUUCACCUAAUAUGUUAUAUCAAACGCAAACUCCGUCGUCAAACUUUAGUUCAUCUUGUUCUGAAAAUAAAACCAAGAAUUAUCAAUCUGUCCCAAACAAAUCCAGAGUUGUUUAUUAAAUCUGUUACACUCCUGCUACCGCUUCAAUCACCACAUCACCUCCCACAUCUCUCCAUAUUGAUAAUCAUCAUCACGCAGAGGAUACCGAAGCAGCAACUUAUUCAGUACAAUCUCAAGGACAAGAAGAGGAAAAUAAUAUUGAAAAAUUUAGCUUACGAGCUUGCCAUGCGAUACAAGAUAGAUAAUAUUCCGGAAUCUUGGAAAAGACACGGUAAGGCUGGCAAAUAUUGGUUUGCAGGUUUUAUGAAGCGCAACGCGACAGUAUUCACUCGGAGUUCUGAGGCGACCAGCUUAAGCAGAGCAACAUCCUUAUACUGUACUAAUGUCCAUUCAUUUUUCGAAAAAUAUCAAGAAGUGCUUCAAAGAUACAAUUUUCCCCCUAGUAGAAUCUGGAAUGUAGACGAGACUGGAGUUACAACGGUGCAAAAACCCGUUGCCAGUCAUAUCUCAUUCUAUAUAUAUUAGUCUUUGCGUUACCGUCACAUUCAUUUUCAAAAUCAAUAAAUGAAGGUUAAGCUCGCAACACAGCUAUACAGCCUUAGUGUGGUGGAUGUUAUAGACUCUAUAACAUCCACCACACUAAGGCUGUACUACAAAGGUUAAAUUGAUCAAACAUCAUCAAGACUUCCAUUCCAAAGUAGGUAUUAAGUAAAUUUAAGGAAACAAUCUCAUAAAUAUGUGAUACGAAAAGGAGAAGACUGAUUAAGACUGUUCAAUAAUAAAAAAAAUUAUGAUUGUGACUAUGCUGUUUCAUUUAAGAUUUCAAGAAGUAUGUAAGUGGUAGAUCGCACAGGGUUUUGUUAGUAAACAGUAGAUCUUAUGUCUAAUCAAGUUGGCCACCCCUGUUAUAGACUUUUGUUGCAAUGAACUAAAACUACCUGCAUUUAAAAAUAGUGAUGCAAUGCAACAUCGAAAUUUUUGAUGAUAAUUAAUAAUGUGUUUGAUAUAUUCCCGAAGCUCUUUUUAAUAGAAAUUUAAGAAAGCGCUGACGGAAAUUAAUUCUAUGGAGCCUUCAGGAUUCCUAGACAAAGCAGUCGGCUACCUAACAAGAUUAAAGAUGUCUAGAUGAUAGACUGUUAAUACAAAGCUCAAGAAAACCAGGCUUUAUUAGGUUCAUUGACUGUGCCGAAGCAGUAAAACAUGGGUACUCGGGUACUUGUUUAUAUGCUAAUGUAUAAAAUUAGUCAAGAUCACCUCGCGAUGCUUUUUGAUAAUAUAAGGUGACAUGGAGGAGCCAAGAAUAACCCUACGGCGCGCCAGUUUAAGGCCUUUACAGACCAGGUUUCGCAAUGACACUGGCUUAUUAGUUGACAUGCCGAAACCAAACUUCGGAAACACUAAUGACGGUACUAGCAGCAGAUUUUUUGAAGAUCCGAAACUAUCGUCAAAUAUAACAGGAAUAGAUUACGAGUUGAUAUAUAGAUUGAAAGUAAUUCUGGAAACGAUUUCAUGCGGAUUCGAGAUAAAAGAAAAAUAUUCAGAAGAAACUGCUUGCUUAUAUGUGAAACUUUACCCAAUCGGAUCAGACAUAAUAAAAAUUGCAUUGCUACCCAUAGGGCAACUAUUUGAAGAAGCAGCAAAAGCACGCAACAAGCAUUUUAUACAGACAGGAUUACUCAAGAAAAAUCUCUAGAGAGUCCUGUAACAGAGACAUUUUGAAUAGGCUACUUUUAAGCUCAGAUCCCUUAUUUAGUGCCUCAAGGGUAGUAAAGAAAAAUAAGAAGUCUUCUUUUCUACCUGAAACAUUGAAUAUGCUUGUAUCUGCAACACCAAACCCAACGGACGCAAUUCGAUCAGAUAGCGAAGAUGAGAUAAACUAAUUAUUGAUUGAUUUAGAAGAGAUCGUCCGACCGACUCAGAUGAAGAGUUUAAUCAGAAUAUUGAAAUGGAACUCAUACAAAUAUCACUACAACGUGAUUCAGAUGAUACAGAGCAGGCAUAUUGUAUAACGUCGGUACGGUGUGCAGCACACACCUUGCAGCUUGCUGUCAACGCCUCUAUAAAUGAAGAUGAGUCCAUAUAUAUAGUGGAAGAAGCUCAUGCUAUUGUGCGGAAACUUCGAACCCCUACAAUAAAAAAUAUUCUCCAAUUUAUGAGACUUGGUUGCAAAUAUCACGUACAAUCAUUAGUGCUGUACAAAGACUCCGAGACAAUCAGCCGCUGAUGCCUAAUACCCAUGAUGGAGUUGCUGGACAGCAAACUUGGAGGCACUGCUGCCACGUGACAAGCCCGUGAGAGAAACGUAUUGUCGCUGGGUGUUAGACCGGAUUGCUCAGGACCAACAUUUCGUGAGGAAUGUGUUUUGGACAGACGAAAGCACAUUUACUCGAAACGGCAUGUGGAACCAACUGACCAUGCGUCACUGGAGCCAUACCAAUCCCCACUUAAUAAGGGAAUCAGCGCAUCAGUACCGGUUUUCCGUAAAUGUUCACGGAGAAAACAUAGUGGGUCCGUUCUUCAUUGACGGAAAUCUGAAUGCUCAGUUCUUAGAACUCUGUGACGAUCCAAUUUCUGAGUGAUGGAUUCAGAGAUGGAUUGUCUGUGGCAGCAAACUCAAGAGUAUGGUUCCAGUUGGACGGAGCUCCUGCACACUCCGUACUCCUUGCAAGAGAGCGGCUGAACAUAAUGUUUGGAGACCAAUGGAUUAGGCGCUUUGGUCCCCAAAGAUGGCCGGCACGAUCGCCCGACCUAACUCCCCUGGACUUUUUUUAUGGGGAUUCAUUAAAAAUGAAGUUUACGCGAGGUUAUCAGAAAGCGAAGCUAACCUCCGAACACGGAUUGUCGACGCUUUCAAUAAAUUAAAAGCAAUGGCCUUGGAUCCUGACCGAAAUUUAUUGCGCAGGGUUCGACACAAUAUCGUACUGCGAUAUAGCUUAUGUGUCCAAAACCGUGGUGGACACAUUGAACAUUUAAAAAUUUUACUGGGCCAUUGCUUAAUUGUGUUGUGUGCAAAGAAAGCCAUUAACAAAAAAAAAUUGGCGAGAAAUCGCAUUCGCAAGGGUAGCCUCCAAAGAUAAAUCCAUGAUCAUUGAUCACAACAACUCAAUAAGCAGAGUCAAUGAGCCGGCAUGUCAUCGUGUGUGUGUGUGUGUGUGCCAACGAGCCGCGCUACGCGCGCCCGAACGCAGACGCAACGUUGCCGCUCUUCUGGGGUCAAGGUGCAUACACGGAGUUCUUUGUUCUUUGAAUUUAUUUAAUUGUUUGUUUAGUUUGAAAAAAUCACUUUUUUAAUUUAAGGUUUUCGUUAAUUUUUUUUUGUUUAUGUGGAUUGUACUUCUAUGUAAUAGUAUAAAUUAUUGUAUAAGAGCGAUACCCAUACUGUAUAUUCCUCGACACAAGUUACCAUCCCGAAAAGUGCUAUCGAAGAACGUGUUAUCCGAAGAAUAUGAACUAUUAUGCACCAGUUUCAAAAACCAAUUUGAAAAAACUAACUACAUUUCUGCCACCACUGCCACGUGGUCAUCUGAUAGUAACAGAGCCUAUACAUAUAACGGUGACUGCACAUUAUGUAUGCGAAUUCAAAUUCGUUUUGCAGUUUUAUCUACCAUAGAAGUGCAAACUGGUCAUUCUGCUAUAGCACAAACUAUUUUAAAUAUUUUUGCAAAAUGGAAUAUUACGAACAACAUAGUUACAGUGGUAACUGAUAACGCUUCAAAUAUGAAAAAAGCUAUCACCGAACAUCUUCACAUCAUCAUCCAUAUGUCGCUCACACGCUCAAUUUGUCGGUUCAAGAUAGCAUCAAAGAAAAUCCUUAUCUAGAAACUUUGCUUUCAAGGUGCCGGUCGCUAGUCACGUACUUCAAACAUAGUAAUUUGGCAGGAUAUAAAUUCCUUAUAAGGAAUACUCAUAACUUAAAACGCGAUUUUUUAUUCUAGGUAUCUCUCUAAAACGGAUAGAAAUGGCACGACUCAAAAGGAAACAAUCCGGAAAGAAAAUACGUCUUCCCAAGAGACGACUAAUUUACGACGACAAAGCUGAUUAUGGUAAAGCAUGUCAAAAGCCAGAUAUGCUCAAAGAUGAAUACGAGAUGGCAAAAAACAAUUUUCUACAAAAUCUUCAAGAACAGGUCAACAAUAAAGAAGAAGUGGAAAGAGACACCAUUCUUCAAGCAGAAAGUGCACUUUGGCUGGAAUUGAGAAGGUGUCUUUUAACGGCAUCAUCAUUUGGCAAAGUGUGCAAAAGAAGAAAAAAUAUUAGCUCUGCGCCACU